CCUACGGGGAGCAGCAGUGAGGAAUAUUGGUCAAUGGACGAGAGUCUGAACCAGCCAAGUAGCGUGAAGGAUGACUGCCCUAUGGGUUGUAAACUUCUUUUAUAUGGGAAUAAAAUGUUCCACGUGUGGGAUUUUGUAUGUACCAUAUGAAUAAGGAUCGGCUAACUCCGUGCCAGCAGCCGCGGUAAUACGGAGGAUCCGAGCGUUAUCCGGAUUUAUUGGGUUUAAAGGGAGCGUAGGUGGAUUGUUAAGUCAGUUGUGAAAGUUUGCGGCUCAACCGUAAAAUUGCAGUUGAAACUGGCAGUCUUGAGUACAGUAGAGGUGGGCGGAAUUCGUGGUGUAGCGGUGAAAUGCUUAGAUAUCACGAAGAACUCCGAUUGCGAAGGCAGUUCACUGGACUGCAACUGACACUGAGGCUCGAAAGUGUGGGUAUCAAACAGGAUUAGAUACUCGAGUAGUC
rnacentral:rRNA from 1 species